ACUCCUCAUGGUACUUUCUUACUUGCUCUCGGCUUUUCUUAAGAUUUAGUUCGAGAGAUACUUUCCGCCACCUUCCCCGAUGAUAUUGACCAGAUAGUAAACCCUGCAGAAGUCCGUUCUUCCAGAAUACCCCCUUACUCUGUCGUAAGUACGAUGGAGUUCCCGAAGAAAGGACGACAACUUUAUCAUGAUGACCUGAAACAGCAGAAUGAAGUCAUCAAUGUAAUGGAUCAACCUCUUCGAGAAGAACAACCAAGACCAAGAACACUCCCUAGAAUUUCGUAACCCGAACCUUCCCCCUUUACUUCCCUCUUAAAUCUCGGGACGAGAUUUCUUGUAGUGGAGGAGAAUUGUGAC
rnacentral:lncRNA from 1 species